AUACGGAGGGUGCGAGCGUUGUUCGGAAUUACUGGGCGUAAAGGGCGCGCAGGCGGCUUGAUAAGUCAGAUGUGAAAGCCCACGGCUCAACCGUGGAAGUGCAUCUGAAACUGUCUGGCUUGAGUACUGGAGAGGAAAGUGGAAUUCCUGGUGUAGAGGUGAAAUUCGUAGAUAUCAGGAGGAACACCGGUGGCGAAGGCGACUUUCUGGACAGAUACUGACGCUGAGGCGCGAAAGCGUGGGGAGCAAACAGGAUUAGAUACCCCGGUAGUCC
rnacentral:rRNA from 1 species